rnacentral:lncRNA from 1 species
AUGCUCACGCAUCUCCCUAAGGCUGUAUUUGCUGCAAAAUACAUGCAGAUAAAGAGAAGAACAUUAAUCUGCGCCGUGAAGCACUACCAAAAACCACUGACCUCACACUUGUUCCAGAGGGACUCAAAAGCCAAAGGAAGAGGAACAAAAAGCUCCCACCAAACCUGCGGUAGCAAAAGCAAACUCAUCCUGCCUCAUCUUCUGCGUGCAGAAAAUAAACAAAAAGGAGCAUCUAUACCCAGAACUAUCUUCACAGGAAGUGACAGUGGUGUCAAAGUUCUCAGUAUGGCUCCACGUAUUUAUUUCUGCUGCUAUGUCAGAACAUAUGCUUUGUACCCCAGUGAAAACAGAAUUUUAUUCUGGUAAUAUGGAUAAGAAAUCGGUUAGAUAUGCAUCUUUUACUAGCGGUCCAUUGAAAGGUAAAAUUUGACUCUAAAGGCAAAUGGCCUAAUUUCUGGCAAUUCCUUUUAGGAUUAAUAGUUUCCUCUCUGCCAUAAAUCAUCACUAGCAUACACACCGGUAUAGAUUAAAGCUAUAGCAUUUUUACACACACGCAGGCAGUUCAGAUAAGCAGUUUCCAUUUAAGGUUUCAAUGGCUUGGCAAGAUCUCCCACAUAUGUUUUUUACUGCCAUAUACCAAAGCAACAUGAGAAAUGUACAGACUGGUAUAGCUGAUUAGCUAAAUUAUAUUCUGCGGGGCUGUCUUAACAGUUAACAUCAAAUCAGUUCUUUUAGAAAUAAGAUUAAAACCUAAAAUUAUUUAAUGUUGUUUAAUUAUUCUGAACAAAUAACUGAGUCCUCCUUGAGUUCAUAUAAUUAAAGUCAAAGUUUAUUUUGGGUUCAAGAAGGGAAUAGACCUGCAAAUUUCAUUAUCAAAAGUAUUCUCUACCACAAGGUACAAUCAACUAAGAGGUGAAGGACCACAAAUAGAGGGACUCUGUAUCUGAUCAGUAUGAGUCCUUGGGGUCAAUGUCUACAAGUGUACUUGAUUUUAUACUUCUGGAGGGAUUACAGAAAAGAUACAGAAGUAUGUUCAUCAGAAAAGUGUUUGUCCUACUACUAAAACUCUGAAAAUCACGAAAUAUUAUUAAAUUAUAGUACUACGGUAUGAUUUUUUGUAUUAUAAAUAAUAUAUUUGUAUUUCUAUUAGAGUAUACGGUGUUCUAUUUUAAAUAAUAUACUCCAUAACAUAGUUUCCUUUUCAGACAAUCUGCUGGAAGAUCUAUUUCCAGUAGCAAUAGCUCCAUCUGACAUGAAAGACCAAAUUAAAGACUAUAGACAAACUGAAUAAAAGUGAAGUAAUUUUAAUUGAUGACA